rnacentral:rRNA from 1 species
GACGAACGCUGGCGGCGUGCUUAACACAUGCAAGUCGAACGGUGAAGCUCCAGCUUGCUGGAGUGGAUCAGUGGCGAACGGGUGAGUAACACGUGAGCAACCUGCCCCAAACUCUGGAAUAAGCGCUGGAAACGGCGUCUAAUACUGGAUACGAGACGGAACCGCAUGGUUACCGUUUGGAAAGUUUUCGGUUUGGGAUGGGCUCGCGGCCUAUCAGCUUGUUGGUGAGGUAAUGGCUCACCAAGGCGACGACGGGUAGCCGGCCUGAGAGGGCGACCGGCCACACUGGGACUGAGACACGGCCCAG